AUUGAACGCUGGCGGCAGGCCUAACACAUGCAAGUCGAACGAGUGGCGGACGGGUGAGUAAUGUCUGGGAAACUGCCCGAUGGAUGGGGAUAACUACUGGAAACGGUAGCUAAUACCGAAAACCAUCGGAUGUGCCCAGAUGGGAUUAGCUAGUAGGUGGGGUAACGGCUCACCAAGGCGACGAUCCCUAGCUGGUCUGAGAGGAUGACCGGCCACACUGGAACUGAGACACGGUCCAGACUCCUACGGGAGGCAGCAGUAGGGAAUCUUGCACAAUGGGCGAAAGCCUGAUGCAGCAAUGCCGCGUGUAUGAAGAAGGCCUUCGGGUUGUAAAGUACUUUCAGCGGGGAGGCGUUACUCGCAGAAGAAGCACCGGCUAACUCCGUGCCAGCAGCCGCGGUAAUAC
rnacentral:rRNA from 1 species